CACCGCGGUUAUACGAGAGGCCCAAGUUGAUGACGACCGGCGUAAAGAGUGGUUAAUUGAAAUUAGGAACUAGGGCCAAACACAUUCAAGACUGUCAUACGUUACCGGAUGAGGGAGGACCUCCAACGAAAGUGGCUUCUAAACCCAUGAACCCACGAAAGCUAAGACA
rnacentral:rRNA from 1 species